GACGUAGGGCGCGAGCGUUGUCCGGAUUUAUUGGGCGUAAAGAGCUCGUAGGCGGUUUGUCGCGUCGGCCGUGAAAACUUGGGGCUUAACCCCGAGCCUGCGGUCGAUACGGGCAGACUUGAGUUCGGCAGGGGAGACUGGAAUUCCUGGUGUAGCGGUGAAAUGCGCAGAUAUCGGGAAGAACACCCGUGGCGAAGGCGGCUCUCUGGGACGGUACUGACGCUGAGACGCGAAAGCGUGGGGAGCGAACAGG
rnacentral:rRNA from 1 species